GAUGAACGCUGGCGGCGUGCCUAAUACAUGCAAGUCGAGCGAACAGACGAGGCUCUUGCUCCUCUGACGUUAGCCGCGGACGUGUGAGUAACACGUGGAUAACCUACCUAUCAGACUGGGAUAACUUCGGGAAACCGGCGCUAAUCCCGUAUAACAUGCUGAACCGCAUGGUUCAACAGUGAAAGACGGUCUUGCUGUCACUUCUCGCUGGAUCCGCGCCGCAUUAGCUAGUUGGUAGGGUAACGGCUUAUCAAGGCAACGAUGCGUAGCCGACCUGAUGGGGGGAUAGGCGACACUGGAAGGGGGACAGGGUCAAGACUACUAAGGGAGGGAGCAGAAGGGAAUGUGACGCAAUGGGCGAGAGCAUGACGGAGUAACGGCGAGUGAGUGAAGAAGGUGUUGGGAGCGGAAAACUCGGUUAUGAGGGAAAAACAAAUGUGGAAGGAAAUAAGCACGGAGUGACGGUACCGAAUCAGAAAGCAACGGCUAACUACGUG
rnacentral:rRNA from 1 species